rnacentral:rRNA from 1 species
GAGUUUGAUCCUGGCUCAGAUUGAACGCUGGCGGAAUGCCUAACACAUGCAAGUCGAGCGGGGUAGCAAUAUCCAGCGGCGGACGGGUGAGGAAUACAUAGGAAUCUGCCUUUAGGUGGGGGAUAGCUAGGGGAAACUCUGGGUAAUACCGCAUGAUCUCGUGAGAGCAAAGGGGCGCAAGUCUCGCCUUUAGAGGAGCCUAUGUCUGAUUAGCUAGUUGGCGGUGUAAUGGACCACCAAGGCGAUGAUCAGUAACUGGUCUGAGAGGACGAUCAGUCACACCGGAACUGAGACACGGUCCGGACUCCUACGGGAGGCAGCAGUGGGGAAUAUUGGACAAUGGGCGAAAGCCUGAUCCAGCAAUUCCGCGUGUGUGAAGAAGGCCUUCGGGUUGUAAAGCACUUUAGUUGGGGAAGAAACAGCUUGGCCACACCAAGCCUUGACGGUACCCAAAGAAUAAGCACCGGCUAACUCUGUGCCAGCAGCCGCGGUAAUACAGAGGGUGCAAGCGUUAAUCGGAUUUACUGGGCGUAAAGGGUGCGUAGGUGGCUUUUUAAGUCGGAUGUGAAAGCCCGGGGCUUAACCUCGGAAUGGCAUUCGAUACUGGGGGGCU